CCANUGUAGGCUUUGGAAACUGUUUAACUUGAGUGCAGAAGGGGAGAGUGGAAUUCCAUGUGUAGCGGUGAAAUGCGUAGAUAUAUGGAGGAACACCGGUGGCGAAAGCGGCUCUCUGNUCUGUAACUGACGCUGAGGCUCGAAAGCGUGGGGAGCGAACAGGAUUAGAUACCCUGGUAGUNCACGCCGUAAACGAUGAGUGCUAGGUGUUAGGUCCUUUCCGGGACUUAGUGCCGCAGCUAACGCAUUAAGCACUCCGCCUGGGGAGUACGACCGCAAGGUUGAAACUCAAAGGAAUUGACGGGGGCCCGCACAGGCGGUGGAGCAUGUGGUUUAAUUCGAAGCAACGCGAAGAACCUUACCAGGUCUUGACAUCCCGAUGCCCGCUCUAGAGAUAGAGCUUUACUUCGGUACAUCGGUGACAGGUGGUGCAUGGUUGUCGUCAGCUCGUGUCGUGAGAUGUUGGGUUAAGUCCCGCAACGAGCGCAACCCUUAUUGUUAGUUGCCAUCAUUCAGUUGGGCACUCUAGCGAGACUGCCGGUAAUAAACCGGAGGAAGGUGGGGAUGACGUCAAAUCAUCAUGCCCCUUAUGACCUGGGCUACACACGUGCUACAAUGGCUGGUACAACGAGUCGCAAGCCGGUGACGGCAAGCUAAUCUCUGAAAGCCAGUCUCAGUUCGGAUUGUAGGCUGCAACUCGCCUACAUGAAGUCGGAAUCGCUAGUAAUCGCGGAUCAGCACGCCGCGGUGAAUACGUUCCCGGGCCUUGUACACACCGCCCGUCACACCACGAGAGUUUGUAACACCCGAAGUCGGUGA
rnacentral:rRNA from 1 species